rnacentral:rRNA from 1 species
AUGUUCCCCAUGUUCCAGCUGCUUGGACCAGACAACCCAGAUGACAAGUGUGGUCACCACUAUGCCAUUUGCCUAGACCUGAAGAACCAAAGUUUUGAGGUGCUUGAUUCAAUCCGUUUAGGAGAUGACGAGGACCUUACUACUCAUGUUGAAUUCUUUAUCAACAACCUGAAAGAGACCUGGAACCGCCAUUACGAAAACUCAAAGGUCCAGAUCAGUCAUUUUCCAAUUGAGUACGUCACGGCUGAGAAGCAAGAAAACGGGCAUGACUGCGGGUUUUACAUGUUGGAACACCUUGCAAAGUGGGAAGGUCGAUGGGUCCCUGUGGUCACAGCUGCAAUGGUCGUCGAGCUCCGUAAAAUAUAUACAUGGAACUGGUUGAUGAAUGAAGAUUUCAACACGCGGGCUUCAGCACGAGAAUUCAUAGAGGGAGCUGUCAAAACCGCGAACAAGAAGUACAAGUGA